CAGUCCCCCCUCUCAUAUGAAUGUUAUGGACUGGCUAUUGUCGGCAAGACACGACUAUAGGUCUGUGCUGAUGCACGGCUGCAUUGGGUGGCUUGGCCCAUCAACCAUCCAUGCUAAUUGUGCACAUGUCAAGCUUUAAUGAAAAAAUGACUCUAUUCUUCACGAAGGAGGGCGUGGAUUAAAUUUAAAUAAAUAAUGUUCUCCUUCUCCAUCAAAAUCUUAAACUUUUGGAGGAGUUAGUUUAACAUGCUAUCAUUUUGUUUUACAUCUGAAGGUGAUUGAUUUACUAGAAACAAAUUGUGUAAUGUAAUAGUUUGUUGUCAUUCAUUUUAUCUAUUUGAAAUUUAUAUAGUUGAAUAGAUGAUCUAGAGCCACUCGUUCUUUUUGAGAUCAUGACUCAUGAGGAUGUUUUCAAGUUAAGAUUUUAGUUUUUGAAUGCCUAUAUCCUUUGCUUUAAUUUUCAAGCUUGAUUUGAUAUUAGAAUAUUUAAUUAGGGAUAGAAAGAGCAGUGGUGGUCCAAUUAGAUUGGUAGUUGUGAUGCAUCUUUCAAGUGAGCUGUUUGUCAGACAUUGAAGGGAAUGGAUUUCUAUAUAUUUUUGGCGUUUUUCUUUGCAAAAUUUAGAAAUUAUGGUUACAGAUUAGGAUGGGCCAAGGGGAGAUGGGAACUUGAAUGCAUGUACUAUGUUGGCAUUAAACAUAGUGACAGCCAUUAUGGUUAGCCAGCUACAUCAAAAAAAAAAAUUUCAGAAAAUAAGGAAAGAACAAUUAAUAAUUUAAUCAAUGAGAUAUAAUAUAAUGGUAAUUUUCUUUUGACUAGCUGCUACUGUGAGAUCUGAGGUUGGAUGAGUUGAUGACAAUAAUUCAAAUUGUAUAUUGUUUAUACUUUACACGAGCAAUCCAGGUGUGCACCUGCCGUCCCGGCCUGGAUGAAGAAUCCCACUUUUUACUUAUUUAUACAAAAAUAACAAAAAUUUGUAAAAAAAAGCAAGGUUCGGAUAGGUUGACCGGCACCAGCUGCUCUGGCCUGGAUCAUGACACUGUAGUCCAGGGAUUUUGACUUUGUAUAGGGGGUCCUGGGGAUACCCAUAUAUGUAUGAAUGACACUACUUGCAUUAAACAACAUCAUCCCAUUCAAAUUAAAUGAUAAAAUGUUUAGUUUUUCUUGUUUUGAAGUGUUGUUGCACAUGUUAAAAUAUUUAUGUUAACUUCCUAUAUUCUGUACUGACACUCCUGUUGUGUAAUGACUAACGAAGGCCAAACUACAUGGUUUUGAUUGCUUACCGUUUAUGUUAUUUUCAACAAUCUCAACAUGCUUCCAAGCCAUAGAUCUAUUUCUCUGCCUUAGCUAUGAAGGAACAAAAUAGUUAUACGUAUCAAGAUCUGCUUCCAUUGGGAAUAAAAAGAAUGUUAAUUGGUGGCCAAGAAAUUAAGUGUACAACCGACUUUGAGUGUUUAAAAAAAAAA